UCGUGGGGAUUCGUCCCCUCUAGAUAGACACCCUUUGUUUAUGAGUACCAACUGUUUCCUCGGCGGGCUUGCUCGCCGUUGGACAUUUAAAACCUUUUGUAGUAGCAGUAUCUUCAGUAAAAAAACAAAUAUUA
rnacentral:misc_RNA from 1 species